CGUGCUUUCUUUGGAGUGCUGGCUCCGAUGGGAGUAGAUAAGCGAUGUUGCUGCCGUCGGUACGGCGGCGGCGGUGGCGCUAGGGACUUUGCGGCGGCUAGAUAAGCGAUGUAGCUGCCUUUGGUCCGCGAUCGGUGCCUAGGGAAACGGCCGCGGCUCGUCAGUAGCUCCUCAGCCGCGGCUACAGGAUUUCCUCCGCGGCGGUGGUAGCAACGUCCGGAGGUCCAGCGGUAGCCCUGUGGCGGCGGCUCUAGGCGGAAGCGGAAGCAGGCCGUCUCCGCCGCCUUCCGUCGGCCCUCCCCUUCGCGUGUUGCUGGGCCUUCUGUAGGCGGGAGUGCGCGAGUACAGAACGAGCUAGAUGGGCUCCCGACGGCUACCCGCGGAGCCGCCGCCGGUGCCGCUCUAGACGCAGACCCUGCACUGUUAGGGAGGUGGGGCCAGCGGCCACUCUAAAGUGACGGAACUAGGAGGGCCAGGGUCAAAUAGUCCAGCAGGGACUGUUUCUCUACGAUGACGGCCCGUGCACGUGCGUGCACCCCGCCGGCGGACGCUCGCCCCGGCGCAGGAGAGAGGAAGCAGCUGGUACCGGAGGCUUGGUGAGGCAACUCGCCAUGGAGACGCGGGUUCACAGGCGAGGAGCUAGAAGUUGUCUAAACAAUAGAGGAGAGAAGGCAACGUCUUGUUAUACUAUGCUACGUGUAGCCAGGCGAAAUGACCGUCGAUAGAAAGUUCUACCUCCCCUCCGUGAGCACACCUGGACGAGUUACAAGCUCCUCUAUGCCGACUGAUUUGUUCUAAAACCUAGUGCUAGUAGAUAAAUGGUCCGUAGUCAAUUGAGUUCCGUAGCUAGUUUUAGAUCGUAAGAAACAACACACGUGGUACCUCUUCUGUUUCUUGUCUCUAACACACUAUAUAGGCUAUCGCGUUAUAUUAAAAGAGAACGUAUAAAUAUUAGACGGUAAACUUACUACAAAAGAUACAACAUCAGUUUAGUUCUGUUAAACGUUGAAACCACAACACUGCAACCUCCGGCACGAGUUGUCGUUACCCCCUGACAAGCAACUACGGGCUGGGUACUACGGCCGCUUCCUUACUCUUAGCUGCUCCUCACCUGUGGUACCCAAACACUUGACCGCUUCGGAGGCAACAGGCAAACCAUUACAGACUGUGUAGUCUCCGUAUCAUACUGAACGGGGCUAAUACUACAGCAGAUGUUUGUAGGCUGCCUCCCCUCGGGCAGGGUCAAAGGUAGAACUACAAAGUCAACAACUCGAGACGUGAUAUUUUGGCUCUUUAUGGGUUCCGAAAAAUGUCUGAUGUUUAUCUCCCUUCAAACGUACACGGAAUGAUCUCUGUCUACUUGGUUAUUUUACUAACCUUUCCAAGAAGGGUUCGUUUUCUAAUGGAUACUACUUUUAAUGUAAGAGACGCCCGCGACUAAGUCUAUAUAAUGAUACCCGUUUCCUUCAAGUUUUAAAUAGAGUUAGUUUGUACACGUUUCCUUUUAAGUUUUAAACAAUACAGUCCUUUUCUAAGAAUUUGGUCACUUCAUAGAUCUCCCGAAUAAUCCUGUGACGAGUAUAACAAACUAUGAAAUGGUAGACCCCUAAUCCGAUGGCCACUUGUGCUGUUACGCCGACAACCAGUGCCUACGGCCCCCGCACUCGCCCCAACUCCUCGAGUGUACCACGAUAUGUACUGCUGGACGCUCACCACCGUCCUCCACCGUACGGACGACGAACCGACCUUCAGGCUGUACUUGAGGGUGCUGGCUCACAUUCGUACCAACACUUCUGGAAGGUCGUAAUGGGGUCCUUCGAUUGUGUAGUCGAACACGGUAUGCACCACAAAAGAACAACUACUUACAACCAGAUCCAUUAAAGAAACUACUUGGUACACUGUUAAUUAUUUCAAUUAUUUCCUGUCGUAUGAGAAAAACAGGCGGAACUAGCGUCACCCCGCCCCCACUCCGCAACCUCUCUCCGCCCCGUCACCACGUACGCACGUCACGCAGACCUGCUGUCUUACGUACUAGCUCACUAGCCACACCACCAACCGCCACGAACCCGUAACUACAAGCUAAAAUCUCCUUCUUCUUUCUAAUCGACGACUAAAACCCCCCUUCUUCUCUCUAACUCGCACAACAACAACAGCACCCACCAGAACCCUCUCCUUAUUUUCUCUCAUCAUUUCUCGACAUCUCUCUAUCGCUCCCUAACUCUCCGAUGAUGAUAAAAAAUAACA
rnacentral:rRNA from 1 species